GGUCGAGUGACCCCGCGCCGAAAAUGUACCGGGGCUAAACAUAUUACCGAAACUGUGGAUGAACCUCUUUAGAGGUUCGUGGUAGGAGAGCGUUCUAAGGGCGGUGAAGUCAGACCGGAAGGACUGGGGGAGCGCUUAGAAGUGAGAAUGCCGGUAUGAGUAGCGAAAGAAGGGUGAGAAUCCCUUCCACCGAAUAUCUAAGGUUUCCUGAGGAAGGCUCGUCCGCUCAGGGUUAGUCGGGACCUAAGCCGAGGCCGAUAGGCGUAGGCGAUGGACAACAGGUAGAGAUUCCUGUACCAGUGCUAAUUGUUUAACCGAUGGGGUGACACAGAAGGAUAGGGAAUCGCACGAAUGGAAAUGUGCGUCCAAGCAGUGAGUGUGAGAAGUAGGCAAAUCCGCUUCUCGC
rnacentral:rRNA from 1 species